UACUUGCUCCCUGAUGUUAGCGGCGGACGGGUGAGUAACACGUGGGUAACCUGCCUGUAAGACUGGGAUAACUCCGGGAAACCGGGGCUAAUACCGGAUGCUUGAUUGAACCGCAUGGUUCAAUUAUAAAAGGUGGCUUUUAGCUACCACUUACAGAUGGACCCGCGGCGCAUUACCUAGUUGGGGAGGUAACGGCUCACCAAGGCAACAAUGCGUACCCAACCUGAAAGGGUGAUCGGCCACCCUGGGACUGAAACACGGCCCAAACUCCUACGGGAGGCAGCAGUAGGGAAUCUUCCGCAAGGGACAAAAGUCUGACGGACCACCGCCCCGGGAGUGAUGAAGGUUUUCGGAUCGUAAAACUCUGUUGUUAGGGAAAAACAAGUACCGUUCGAAUAGGGCGGUACCUUGACGGUACCUAACCAGAAAGCCACGGCUAACUACUUGCCACCAGCCGCGGUAAUACGUAGGUGGCAAGCGUUGUCCGGAAUUAUUGGGCGUAAAGCGCGCGCAGGCGGUUUCUUAAGUCUGAUGUGAAAGCCCCCGGCUCACCGGGGAGGGUCAUUGAAACUGGGGAACUUGAGUGCAGAAAGGAGAGUGAUUCCACGUGUAGCGGUGAAAUGCGUAAUGUGAGGACCACCAUGGCGAAGGCAUCUCUGGUCUGUAACUGACGCUGAGGCGCGAAAGCUGGGGAGCGAACAGGAUUA
rnacentral:rRNA from 2 species